GUGGUGGUAGUUCAGUGGUAGAAUUCUUGCCCUCCAUGCAGAAGACCCAGGUUUGAUUCCUGGCCAAUGCA
rnacentral:tRNA from 1 species